GGUCUGGUGGUGUAGUUGGUUAUCACGUCAGUCUAACAAACAGUUAGAAUCACUGAAGGUCUCCGGUUCAAGUCCGGGCUAGAUCA